rnacentral:rRNA from 1 species
GGUGACUAUAUCGGAAAGGAAACACCCGUUCCCAUCCCGAACACGGCCGUUAAGCUUUCCGAGCCGAUG